rnacentral:rRNA from 1 species
UCGCGUCAGGAUAUGCCUAGGUGGGAUUAGCUAGUUGGUGAGGUAAGGGCUCACCAAGGCGACGAUCCCUAGCUGGUCUGAGAGGAUGAUCAGCCACACUGGAACUGAGACACGGUCCAGACUCCGUACGGGAGGCAGCAGUGGGGAAUAUUGCACAAUGGGCGCAAGCCUGAUGCAGCCAUGCCGCGUGUGUGAAGAAGGCCUUCGGGUUGUAAAGCACUUUCAGUCGUGAGGAAGGUAGUGUAGUUAAUAG